ensembl:lncRNA
GGUCACACAGCCUCGGUGUAAGAGAGAGGGAUUUCUGUCUUCAUUUAGAGCUGUUGUAGAAGAGAACCCAGGGUGUGCAGUGCCCCAAGGAGCCCGGCUCUGCACUGAGAUCUGGAUGGAGGAAUGAGGAGUUAAGGGGUCGUGGAAGAUGCUUCAAGACGGGAUGCAGAUGAUUCUCCCUGAGUCCACCACAGGCUGAAUGUGUGCUUUCAUAGAAUCACAGAAUCAUUAAAGUCAGAAAAUAACUCUAAAAUCUUCCAGCCCAACCCCAGCCCAUCCCUACCAUGCCCACUGACCAUAUCCCCCAGUGCCACAUCUCCAUGCUUCUUGAACACCCCCAGGGACGAUGACUCCACCACCUCCCUGCGCCAACGCAUCACCACUCUUCAAGGGCAGAAAUCUUUCCUAAUCUCCAGCUGCAAGGAUGCUGAGCCCUGGGGAUGCACCAGGUGGGAGGUGGGCUCCGUACGUCUUCCCUUUCCUUUAACAGCACAGCAGCUCGGUGGUGCAUUUUGUUCAGGCUUUAACUUUGGUGGUUUUUUUUGUUUUUUUUUUUCUUUGCCUUUCCCUGGCGUUCGUUAGCAGAAGUGACAUUUCUGCGGACGGGCAGGCGAUGACGGCAGCUAAUGGCUCCCGGGCCCUCUCUCCAGUUUCCUUAGCAACUGCGUGAAGGGAAAACAGAACCUGUCAGAUGGAAAAUGUCAAUUACGGCAGAUGCGGAGGGGAGCGAUGCUGCGAGCAGGGGAGGCGCGUGGCGGCGGGGGGAGCACCCAGCAGAGUGGCCCCGAUGGGCAGCAUCAUGGUGACAGUGUGUGGCAGCAGAUGAGGGCUGUGGGGCAGCGACUGCAGGGUUCCAGGAAUGAUUUUGCCAUGCUGAGCCCAUGGCCAACUGGGAUCAUCCUCCAUGGCCAACUGGGAUCAGCCUCUAUGGCCAACUGGGAUUGGCCUCCAUGGUCAACUCUGGUUACCUCCCCAGCCAGAGGAGAUGCAGUGGAUGGAAGCGGAUCGAGAAAUGAUUCAAAAGCCCAAGCCGUUCUGCUGGUGGAGGAGACUGCGAGAUUGAGGCUUUGAUAGUGAGUGCCAAAGUUUCCCUGUCCAUGUGACUCAGCUCUUCAAUUACUGACAUCUUAGUUUGUUACCAUGUAUGCACAUUAUUUAUGUUUUGCCCAGGAAAAAGCAGCACAACUCCAGCAGAACAUUUGUUGUUGUUUCCCGUAUCUGUUUCCCAUCAUUAAACUGCGUAUCUUCUCCAUACAAACACAACCAAACCCCCAGCACCCUCCCACCAUCAUGAACACAACCACCACCAAACACCAAAAAACCACCCCCUAUACCCACAACGCCUCCCUUCCCCAAAUUUUAACCAAAGCAGCUCCCGCAGAGUGGAAUCCUUUCCUAGCUUGAUCUGGUUUUGGUGAGGGGUCAGUAGUGGGGGCAAAUGGGGAGCACAGCUCCCAAACUCAGCUUUUAAAGCCUCUGGGAGCAAAGCACCAGCUGAUUCCUGCUAAAGAUGACCACGGAGAGAAAGCAGUUGGCUGGUGUGUUCUGCUCACCAUGGGUACAGGAUGAGAGCCUGGAUUCCCAGCUCCCCUGGCUUCCCCCCCUUGAGCUGAAGGUGCCCCGUCCCUUUCUUGCCUGCCAAGCAGUGGAACAUAGAAUUAUAGAACCAUUAAGGUUGGAAUGACCACUAAGAUCAGACAGUCCAACCAUUUACCCAUCCCCAUCACACAGAGAACGCCCCAACAGCUCCCACCCAGCCCCUGGGAGCAGCCCUGAGAGUGCACGUCAGGAGAUUUCCUUCAAUUUCUUUAAUUACCCCUCUCUCCACAUCAUCCAGCUCCCUCCUUCCUCAUCACACUCUUUGCUACACGCUGUCUGCUUAGCAGAACAAAUGGCCGUGCCCCCAGCACAGAGCCCUGCCAAUGCCCUCCCAUUGCAGUGCAGCAGCCUUGGGGUUAAGCACAUCCCUCCUGCUGCAGGCAGUGCUCAAGCAGUGACUGCGUGGCUGCACAGCGAGGAUGUCUCCAGCCUAGAAAGCUUCCCUGGCAGUGAUCUCUUCAUACUCUGAACCCAUCUGCAAGCUACUCAAAGUGCAAAUGCAUGCUGAGGUAUCCUGGGGUGCAGCCCCAUCCCUGCCUGCUGUGCACCCCGACAGAGCCGUGCCACCUCCAGUGCCAGCUCACAGGGUGAGGGUGAAAACAGCUUCCUGAGCACAAGAGGGCUGUAAGGAUUAAUUAAAGUUGAAAAGCACUCCAAGCUCUUCAGCAAGAGUUGUUUUAAAUAAGGGAUGCUGUAAUAACAAGCUGGUUACGGCACGGAGGAGCCUUGUGGAGUGGGUGAUGGCAACUAGGAGCAGUGAGGUGGCAGACAGAGGGCACCAGGACUGCUCACAGCACUGGGGUGACAUUGCCCUGCCUGUGCCAGCCGAUGCACCUCUCACCUCACCACCCCGUGCCAAUUCUCUGCAUCCAGUCUGGGCUCCUAUCAUCCACACCUCUGUCCUGCGGUGCUGCUCUUCAGGUCCCAGCCGUGGGAUGCUGCUAUCUGUGCUCUCCUCCUGUAUCCUUAAGAUAAACAUGUCCUUCACUGUAGUCACCUACUCCAUCAUACACUCCUAUCAAAUGAGCCUUGCUAGCUCGUAAAUUACUGUGCAAACCAUUCCAAACAAUAAAGGCAAUUUUACUUACUGAACCA